GUAGGGAAUAUUGGGCAAUGGAUGGAAGUCUGACCCAGCCAUCCCGCGUGCCGGAAGACGGCCCUCAGGGUUGUAAACGGCUUUUGACGGUGAAGAAUAGGCGGGAUGCGUCCUGUUUUGACGGUAGCCGUUGAAUAAGCACCGGCUAACUCCGUGCCAGCAGCCGCGGUAAUACGGAGGGUGCGAGCGUUGUCCGGAUUUAUUGGGUUUAAAGGGUGCGUAGGCUGGGAGGUAAGUCAGCGGUGAAAAGCACACGCGUAACGGGUGUCUUGCCGCAGAUACUACUUUUCUUGGAUGAGGAGGAGGUCACUGGAACGGAUGGUGUAGCGGUGAAAUGCAUAGAUAUCAUCCAGAACACCGAUUGCGAAGGCAGGUGACUGUACCUUAAUCGACGCUGAGGCACGAAAGCGUGGGGAGCGAACAGGAUUAGAUACCCGGGUAGUCC
rnacentral:rRNA from 1 species